AUUCUCAUCCAGGAUGAUGCAGUUUGACAAUUUCCAUGGAGGUGAUUGAUGAUGAUAAAUAAUUGGUGAAGUAGGCCUAAUAGAACAGUGACUGGACCACAAAGAGAAAUACAAACUACAGCAGUUAUAGGAGACUGGUGUAACAGAUGUUUUCAUUCAAGAAAUCCAACAAGUCAACAUUGAAGACUUGGGAACCACGUAAUGAAGAUGGAAAAGGUUUUUUUCCAAGUCCAAUUUAAAAAAAAAUUAUC
rnacentral:lncRNA from 1 species